UCAAGUAAUGAAGUGCACAUGGUGGAUGCCUUGGCAGUCAGAGGCGAUGAAAGACGUGAUAGCCUGCGAUAAGCGUCGGUGAGGUGGCAAUAUCCUGUGACCCGGCGAUUUCUGAAUGGGGAAACCCAACCAACAUAAGUUGGUUAUUACACAGUUUACUGUGUAAGGCAAACCGGGAGAAGUGAAACAUCUCAGUACCCCGAGGAAAAGACAUCAAAUGAGAUUCCGUAAGUAGCGGCGAGCGAACACGGAGGAGCCGAUCAAUUUUACAGUAGCAAAAUGGCGUGGGAAAGCCAACCAUAGUAGGUGAUAGUCCUGUAUGCGAAACUGUUUAAGCGACAUAUUAAGUAGGGCGGAACACGAGAAAUUCUGUCUGAAGAUGGGGGGACCAUCCUCCAAGGCUAAAUACUCCUGACUGACCGAUAGUGAACCAGUACCGUGAGGGAAAGGCGAAAAGAACCCCUGUUAGGGGAGUGAAAUAGAACCUGAAACCGUGUGCAUACAAGCAGUCGGAGCUGACGGCGUACCUUUUGUAUAAUGGGUCAGCGACUUAUAUUCUGUAGCAAGGUUAACCGAAUAGGGGAGCCGUAGGGAAACCGAGUCUUAAUAGGGCGAAUGAGUUGCAGGGUAUAGACCCGAAACCGAGUGAUCUAUCCAUGAGCAGGUUGAAAGUGCCGUAACAGGCACCGGAGGACCGAACCCACUGUCGUUGAAAAGCCAGGGGAUGACUUGUGGAUAGGGGUGAAAGGCUAAUCAAACUCGGUGAUAGCUGGUUCUCCCCGAAAGCUAUUUAGGUAGCGCCUCGGACGAAUACCAUUGGGGGUAGAGCACUGUUUCGGCUAGGGGGUCACACCGACUUACCAAACCGAUGCAAACUCCGAAUACCGAUGAGUAAUAUCCGGGAGACAGACGGCGGGUGCUAACGUCCGUCGUCAAGAGGGAAACAACCCAGACCGCCAGCUAAGGCCCCAAAUUCCUAGUUAAGUGGGAAACGAUGUGGGAAGGCACAGACAGCUAGGAGGUUGGCUUAGAAGCAGCCACCCUUUAAAGAAAGCGUAAUAGCUCACUAGUCGAGUCGGCCUGCGCGGAAGAUGUAACGGGGCUCAAACUAGGAGCCGAAGCUGCGGAUUUAAUUGUUUCAAUUAAGUGGUAGGGGAGCGUUGUGUAAGCCUGUGAAGGUGCACUGUAAGGUGUGCUGGAGGUAUCACAAGAGCGAAUGCUGACGUGAGUAACGACAAAACGGGUGAAAAGCCCGUUCGCCGGAAGACCAAGGGUUCCAGUCCAACGUUAAUCGGGGCUGGGUGAGUCGACCCCUAAGGCGAGGCCGAAAGGCGUAGUCGAUGGGAAAUCGGUUAAUAUUCCGAUACUUGUUUAUGAUGCGAUGGAGGGACGGAGAAGGUUAUGCCAGCCUGGCGAUGGUUGUCCAGGUGGAAGGAUGUAGUUAGACUGAGUAGGCAAAUCCGCUCGGUUAUUAAUGAGAUCUGAUAGCAAGCCAGUUUACUGGCAAAGUGGCAAAUACCCUGCUUCCAGGAAAAGCUUCUAAGCGAUAGUCAUAAACGAAUCGUACCCGAAACCGACACAGGUGGUCAGGUAGAGAAUACCAAGGCGCUUGAGAGAACUCUGCUGAAGGAACUAGGCAAAAUGGUACCGUAACUUCGGGAGAAGGUACGCUGCCGAUGGUGAUAAGACUUGCUCUUUGAGCUGUUGGCAGUCGCAGAUACCAGGCUGCUGCAACUGUUUAUUAAAAACACAGCACUCUGCAAACACGAAAGUGGACGUAUAGGGUGUGAUGCCUGCCCGGUGCUGGAAGGUUAAUUGAUGGGGUUAGCGUAAGCGAAGCUCUUGAUCGAAGCCCCAGUAAACGGCGGCCGUAACUAUAACGGUCCUAAGGUAGCGAAAUUCCUUGUCGGGUAAGUUCCGACCUGCACGAAUGGCAUAAUGAUGGCAGCGCUGUCUCCAGCAGAGACUCAGUGAAAUCGAAAUCGCAGUGAAGAUGCUGUGUACCCGCGGCUAGACGGAAAGACCCCGUGAACCUUUACUACAGCUUUACAUUGAACUUUGACCUAACUUGUGUAGGAUAGGUGGGAGGCUUUGAAGCAGAUACGCCAGUAUUUGUGGAGCCAACCUUGAAAUACCACCCUGGUUAUGUUGGGGUUCUAACUUAGGAUCAACAAAUCCAAGGACAAUGUAUGGUGGGUAGUUUGACUGGGGCGGUCUCCUCCUAAAGAGUAACGGAGGAGUACGAAGGUGCGCUCAGAACGGUCGGAAAUCGUUCAAAGAGUAUAAAGGCAAAAGCGCGCUUAACUGCGAGACCCACAAGUCGAGCAGGUACGAAAGUAGGUCUUAGUGAUCCGGUGGUUCUGUAUGGAAGGGCCAUCGCUCAACGGAUAAAAGGUACUCUGGGGAUAACAGGCUGAUACCGCCCAAGAGUUCAUAUCGACGGCGGUGUUUGGCACCUCGAUGUCGGCUCAUCUCAUCCUGGGGCUGAAGCAGGUCCCAAGGGUAUGGCUGUUCGCCAUUUAAAGAGGUACGCGAGCUGGGUUUAGAACGUCGUGAGACAGUUCGGUCCCUAUCUACCGUGGGCGUUGGAAAUUUGAGAGGAUCUGCUCCUAGUACGAGAGGACCAGAGUGGACGAACCUCUGGUGUUUCGGUUGUCACGCCAGUGGCAUUGCCGAGUAGCUAUGUUCGGAUGGGAUAACCGCUGAAAGCAUCUAAGCGGGAAGCCCACCUCAAGAUAAGAUUUCCCUAAAGAGCCGUUGUAGACGACGACGUUGAUAGGUUGGGUGUGGAAGUGUAGUGAUACAUGUAGCUAACCAAUACUAAUUGCUCGUUUGGCUUGACCAU
rnacentral:rRNA from 1 species